AGAAAUAACAAUACAAGGCAGUUAAAAUGCUUUGUAAUUGGAAUGAUAGAAAUUUAAACCCUUUUUAAAGUAUCAAUUGGAGGGCAAGUCUGGUGCCAGCAGCCGCGGUAAUUCCAGCUCCAAUAGCGUAUAUUAAAAUUGUUGCAGUUAAAAAGCUCGUAGUUGAAGUUCUGCUAAAAGUAACCGGUCUGCUUUUAAUAAAGGUGGUAUCUUGGUGUGUAUUUAGCAAUGAUGUCCUUUGAAGUGUUUUUUACUUUAUUGUAAUAAAGCAUAUUCAGGACUUUUACUUUGAGAAAAUUAGAGUGUUUCUAGCAGGCUAACGCUUUGAAUACUGCAGCAUGGAAUAAUAAGAUAGGAUUUUAGUUCUACAUUAUUGGUUUUAAGAGCUAAAUUAAUGAUUGAUAGGGACAGUUGGGGGCAUUUGUAUUUAACUGUCAGAGGUGAAAUUCUUAGAUUUGUUAAAGACAAAC
rnacentral:rRNA from 1 species